GAAUUUAAAAAACCUAACUCAUUAAACAGAUCGAUUUGCACCUAUUAAAACCUAGGGUGAAGAGAAGAGGAGAGCAUCUUCUAUUCGCUGAGAUAAAGCUUUUCCUCUGCAGGGCCUUGUGCAGUAAACCCACUACGAUUUGGGUUAGUCGUCCGUCGUCGUAAAGUAGUCCUCACGAAGCUUUCGGGAAGAGGGGUAGUCUUGUGUGUAAGCAUAGCAUUUCUGGUCGAACCCGCCCAACCCAACUAUGAAGAACCAAACCUGACAGACACAUCUUUUUCCUUUUGGGAGGGUACUCCAAGCAGCUUUCACCUCUUUCAUCCAUUUAUCCAUUCAUCUCUAGUUCUCCACCUCAGAAGAUUCUCCUCAAUUUGAAGAGUUUAAGGCAUGGAUGGACUGCGCAAACCUUCAGCUUUUAAACAAAGUGAUGGUAAUGAGAUGGAAUACAAGGGAGUUCAAUAUGAUAAGUUGUCUACAGAAGACAUUAAAGGGCAGAAGUUUAAGACUAUGGAGGAUGCCGAGUCUUUUUACUACGCUUACGCAAAGGUCAUGGGUUUUGGUGUUAGAAAGAACUCCAAGAGACUGAAUACAAUCACACCAGGGAAAGUCACUUUGUUCAGGUUGGUUUGAUUGCGGCAUUUAUACUAUAAAAUUCAUGGAAGAUUUUGAGAAUGCAUCCAAGGCAGAGGAUGAGAAGAAGAAGAAGAAGACAAGACCACGAAACCAGCCAAGAAAAGGAAGAGAAAACAAGAAGACAUAGCACAAAGCGAUAAUGAUAAAGUCUUGCAUACAACCCAAGUACAUGCCAAGACCCAAGUACAUGCCAAAAGGGGUUGUGGUCGACCUCGUGGCUCAAAGAACAAGAAAAAAAGAGAAUGAAGAGAGUUAGGUUUUGCUUAGAUUAUAGUAAUUGUAGUUGCUUCACAUGCUUAGUUGUGUAAAAUAAUGAUCUAUUGAUCUUUCAUAUCUUGAACCAGCAAGGACUGGUCUGGUGAAAGGAACAAUCUUUCUAUUGUUCAUAUACACAUAUACCAUUACAUUUACAGUGGAUUUGCUUAGUCUCCCACGACAAUACAAACUGAUUUACAAGCGUUCUCAAUU